CUUAGUGGCGAACGGGUGAGUAACAGGUAGGUAAUCUACCCUAGAGACGGGGAUAACGUUUGGAAACGAACGCUAAUACCGGAUAGUAUAGUAAACCGCAUGGUUAAGUAUUUAACGGUGCUUCGGCAUCACUCUAGGAGGAGCCUGCUUCGUAUUAGCUAGUUGGUAAGGUAACGGCUUACCAAGGCAAUGAUGCUUAGGGGGUCUGAGAGGAUAGUCCCCCACACUGGUACUGAGACACGGCCCAGACUCCUACGGGAGGCAGCAGUGGGGAAUAUUCGGCAAUGGGGGCAACCCUGACCGAGCAAUGCCGCGUGAACGAAGAAGUAUUUCGAUAUGUAAAGUUCUGUUGUUGAGGAAGAACUGUAGUGAUAGGAAAUGAUCAUUAUUUGACGGUACUCAACCAGAAAGGUCCGGCUAACUACGUGCCAGCAGCCGCGGUAAUACGUAGGGACCAAGCGUUAUCCGGAAUUAUUGGGCGUAAAGGGUUCGUAUGCGGACCAUCAAGUCCGAGUUGAAAGCCCACGGCUUAACCGUGGAGGGUGCUCGGAAACUGUUGGUCUUGAAUUCAGAA
rnacentral:rRNA from 1 species